rnacentral:rRNA from 1 species
CCUGGCGGCAGUAGCGCGGUGGUCCCACCUGACCCCAUGCCGAACUCAGAAGUGAAACGCCGUAACGCCGAUGGUAGUGUGGGGUCUCCCCAUGCGAGAGUAGGGAACUGCCAGGC